rnacentral:lncRNA from 1 species
ACUUCCGCACUUCCGCUUUCCGGCCCAGACAGCGCCCGCGAUGGUGAGAGACCAGGGGUUGGGGUCCUCCCUGUGUUUUGCCUGUAGAGGCUGUGGGUCUGGGGGAGAUGCUGCUUGCCGCUAGGGCUUGCGGCCCGAGGUUGCCCCGGGAUGAGGAGGCACGGGGAGGAUGGAGAGGCAAAGGGUGGGGCGAGGGCCGAGGCGAGGAGGAAGGGGCGAGCCAGGAGGCUCUCUGAGCAAGAGCAGGCCCGGAAGCUUCCAGGUUGGGAAUCCCGGGCUAGAAUGACCUCUCCCCGAUGUUCGGAGGGGGCAGGAGACCGGGCUGCGAAGCCCGUGGUGGUGGCUUGCAGCUGAGGUAGGACCGCUCUGCGGGGCCUCCUCUCCGUCCACGGUAGAGGUUGGCUAAGUACAACCCCCUGUCCCUGCCUGCCUUCGCGGUCUCACGGGACCUCGAGGCAAGUGUCCACUUCAUCUUCUUACUUCUUGGCGCUUCCUGGAAGCCUUGCCUUCCAGCUCCCAAUGAAGGUUCUGUGUUGCUUGCCUGCAUUCAGACUCCUUCCUAGAUGUGCAGAACCGUGUUGACCUUAACGUGUGUAAAUGUUGAUGGCCGCUGGUCCUCCUCUUUCAUGCUCGGGUUUGGGAUCUGUGGGUGCUCCGUGCAGUUGUUCUCCGAAAGGUCCCAGGCUUCCCACUACUUUCUCUGGUCAGCCCUUGACGACCUGAGUUCUAAAGGCUGGACUGCUUGUUGCACGCCCGGGAAUGCUCUCAGGGAAGAGACUUUGAAAUUAGACCCUCUUUUUCAAAAGUCACUUUUUAAAGCUUGCUCCAGUGUUAGUCCUAACUGGUUUCAUUCCUUAGCGUGAAAGCCAUUUCCUGCUGACUGAGUUUUGACUUUGCGUUUUUAAGCAUUCAAGUUUAUUGUACAAUUUCUUCAAGCCACUAAAGGGUAACUAUCACAGGGCUGGUCAUCUAAAAUUUAGUUUUCUUUCAAUGAACCUUGACAAAAUAAUCAGGUAGCCACAAUCGAGGUAGAGAAAAGAAUAUUCUAUCACUUUCCCAACGGUACUUGUCACCGCACACAACUAAUUUUGCCUUUCCGGUUUUGCCUCUUCUUGGUUGACAUAAGAGAAUGCUGUGGUAUGGAGCUAGAACCCACUGCUGAACUACAUGACAGCUGUUUUUUAGCCUUUAUCCCCUCUGUCUGAUGUUUGUCUGUCCGUGAUCCUGUGCUUGUCUCCGCUGCCCCACGCAGCCUGUGCCUCUUCUCUGCCACAAGUCUCACUUCCUUCUCCAUCCCGUCCUCCAGAGAGCCUCUGUGCAGCGGUAGCCCUGUAACUUCCUUCUCAGAAAGUCCCAAUGCUUCCUGCUACAUUGAGAGAAAAACUCAGUGGAAAGCAUUCUAGACUGUCUAGGGUUUUAUCCCAGCCUGCCAUUGCAGCCUGAUCUGUGCAAUUUAAAGCAGUUUUCACAUACAGAAACCUUGCACUCGUUACCAGUUUGGAAAGUCUUAAUGCUCUUGUGUAAAUCUAGCCCUGCUUAAGUUAGUUCAUUUGUUCAUUUACUCUCCAGAAAAUUGGUUUGACCUGAUGUAUAGGAGGUGCUGGGCUAGAUACAACCUGACAACUGAAUAGAAGUUGAUGUCUGUAGACCACGAGAAUUACAAACUGGUGAAGGAAAAAUUUAUUCCUAACGUUCUGUUGUGAAUUUUAUGUAAAGUGAACAUACCAUAAACUGUAAGAAAUGCAUUGAGGGGGAAGUCAAAAAGGCCACUUUGAGGAAGGAAGGGGCCUUCUCCACUGAGCUGAGCUCUGAGAGGCUGAGCUAAGCUGCGGGGAGGAAGGGCUGCAGGUGAUGGAUGCUCCAGCAUGUGAUAAGCCCUGGGGGGAGAGAAGCCUUGCCCGAGAUAAUGUAGCUGGUCAUUGUAGCUGACCUUGUCCACUGAGAAUGGACAGCUUUUACUUUUUCUCAUUGUAGAACCGUCCUGAUCCUGUAUCUGGUCAAAACCAGUUUCUUUAGACAGUCUAGAUUAUUUUUAAGACUAGCUAGUUUUAUAUGUUGCCCUCUGUUAGCCCUUGUGAUUCUCGCCCAGUUGAGCUGUUUGAGGGUAGAAGAGAGAUCACUUCUGAAUUCCCAGCAAGUUCAGGACAUGGAUUGAUACACUUGUCAGUGCAGUCAGCAGAUAGGGAUAUGGCUCCUUCUAGAUCAUCAGCCUUACCUAGCUCUGGCACUGGUGAUGCUGUGUAAUUCUGUUGUGCAUGCCAGGAUAUUGCAGCAUGUCUUGCCUGUGUGCACUUAUAUCUGUAGUAUCCCUGUCCCCAGGCUAUGACAGUCAACUAUUUCUUCAAACUUUGUGAGAUGCCAAGCUGGAUUAUCUGCUGCUGGGAACCACUCGAGAUUUUGAGUGGACUGCAUCUUGAAGACUGGCUGUAGUCUGUUCUGUGUGACAGCCCUGCAGGAAGCCUUCGGUACUGCCUGUUGUGUAGGAGCUGCAGUGAGGGACUGGCUUUGCUUGGCUGAGGCAGACUCUGACCCUUCCUGUGUCUUGGGUUUAUUCCUGCAGACUGCCACUCUCCGCCCCUACCUUAGUGCCGUGCGGGCCACGCUGCAGGCUGCUCUCUGCCUGGAGAACUUCUCCUCCCAGGUCGUGGAACGACACAACAAGCCAGAGGUCGAAGUCAGGUAGGGAACGAGGUCAGAGUGGGGCCGAGAAGAACAUCCCCCAAGAAUAAGCCCUGCCCAAGGGGGCCAGGGAUCUAUGCUUUUGCACUGUCAGGCUACCUUGAGUGACAUUGGUCUUGUUGCCAGAUGAAUAGUUCCUCCUGAUUUGGUUAAUUCCAAAGCAGGGUCAUAGGGCUCCCAUUCAGAACCUAUGGGAGACCUACCCCAGAGUGUGACCUUUAGAGCAGAGCUCUGGGGACGUGUCUCCAAAAGCGUGACAGCCACCGGCAGCCCCAGAAGGUCACAGGAUUUAGAUCCCAGAGAUGAUGCCGCUAAACUUUAUUAAUGUAAGGAUCGAGACUUUUUUUUACUUUUGAUCUUUAAUAUGUCUGACAACUUAGACCUUUUUACACUCCAUAUUUUGAAAGCAGUCUUCUCUUGACUGGUUUUUAUUUCAUAAAUAAGUAUUCUUCCUCUUUGAAAUUUCACCUGGCAAGGAGAUGAUAGAACACUGCUAAUCCCAGCACAUGGGAGGCUGAGGCAAUAGAAUCACAGGGACAGGGCUAGCCUCAGCUACACAGUGGAUCCUCUCUCAAGAAACCAAAAGCUGCAGCGGGGGUAAAUCUGCGGUGUACAUAGUUGUGAUAAGCCACGCCCCCACAUUAGAUGAUAAAGGUAGUAAACCCAGGUCCUUGGGACAGGCUAGGCACACACUUUACAACUGAACCGUAUCUCCAACUCCAAUGUAAUUUAUAUGACUCAAACUAUUGUAGCGUUAGGAUGGACUGCUGCCAUUUGAGAGACAUGGUAUGCUGCGUGCUAUUACUUGAUAUACAUGGUUUUCACUGGACAUUUUAUUUAUUUUUAAAGAUUUAUUAUUAUAUGUAAGUACACUGUAGCUAUCUUCAGAUGCACCAGAAGAGGGCGGCAGAUCUCAUUACAGAUGGUUGUGAGUCACCAUGUGGUUGCUGGGAUUUGAACUCAGGACCUUUGACAGAGCAGUCCGUGCUCUAACCGCUGAGCCAUCUCUCCAGCCCCGCUGGGCAUUCUCCAACAGUGACAGUUCAUAGAGCACAGGUACCUUUAGAACUACACAGAGUCAAUGGCACCAGCUUGAUUCUCUGCCUCUGUGGUUUUAGGAGUAGCAAAGAACUGCUAUUACAGCCUGUCACCAUCAGCAGGAAUGAGAAGGAAAAGGUUCUUAUUGAAGGCUCCAUCAACUCUGUCCGGGUCAGCAUUGCUGUGAAGCAGGUGAGUCACCAGGGAUCCCAUUGGAAUGAAUGGUCAGAGAGCUAGAUUCAGAGCCUGCUUCCAGGAAUUCCCUUGGGAUUAUGGGCACUAGCAAACAGAGCCAAGCAAGGUGGCACAUACCUAUAAUCCUAGCCCUUGGAAGGCUGAGACUGAGGAGGGACAGCCCAAGACCAGCCUGGGCUACUUGGUGAGUCCCUACCUAAAAAACAAAACAAAAAGUUGGUCAGUAGAAAAUAAUGCCAACAGCCCUUAUCAUAGGCCUGGCAAGGCCAUGGGGGUCAGUUAGGUGUUGGAGCAGAGAAGGUUUCUAACAGGUGAUGGCUGUGUGCUCUUAGGGCAGUUCCAGCACUGGUUUGAUAGUCAGUUUCUGAAAUUGCCACACAACACAUGCAUAUACAGAAUUCUC